ACGGGAGGCAGCAGUGGGGAAUAUUGGGCAAUGGGCGAAAGCCUGACCCAGCGACGCCGCGUGAGGGAAGAAGGUCUUCGGAUUGUAAACCUUAGUCAACAGGGAAGAAGAAGAUGACGGUACCUGUGGAGGAAGCCACGGCUAACUACGUGCCAGCAGCCGCGGUAAUACGUAGGUGGCGAGCGUUAUCCGGAUUUACUGGGUGUAAAGGGUGUGUAGGCGGAGCGGCAAGUCAGAUGUGAAAACUAUGGGCUCAACCCAUAAAGUGCAUUUGAAACUGUCGUCCUUGAGAGCAGGAGAGGUAAAUAGAAUUCCCGGUGUAGCGGUGAAAUGCGUAGAUAUCGGGAGGAAUACCGGUGGCGAAGGCGAUUUACUGGACUGCAACUGACGCUGAGACACGAAAGUGUGGGGAGCAAACAGGAUUAGAUACCCUGGUA
rnacentral:rRNA from 2 species